rnacentral:rRNA from 1 species
GUAGGUGGCGAGCGUUGUCCGGAUUUACUGGGCGUAAAGAGCGCGCAGGCGGCUGGUCAAGUCCGAUGUGAAAGCUCCCGGCUUAACUGGGAAAUUGCAUCGGAAACUGAUCGGCUGGAAGGUGGGAGAGGGUAGCGGAAUUCCCGGUGUAGUGGUGAAAUGCGUAGAUAUCGGGAGGAACACCAGUGGCGAAGGCGGCUACCUGGCCCAUUCUUGACGCUGAGGCGCGAAAGCUAGGGGAGCAAACGGGAUUAGAUACCCCGGUAGUCCUAGCCGUAAACGAUGAACACUAGGCGUAGUCGGUAUCGACCCCGGCUGUGCCGUAGCUAACGCAUUAAGUGUUCCGCCUGGGGAGUACGGCCGCAAGGCUA